rnacentral:lncRNA from 1 species
AUUUAUGAUCAACUUUACUGCAGGAGCAUUGUCUGGUUCUUUUGCAGCUGUUGCGACUUUACCAUUUGAUGUAGUAAAGACACAGAAACAAACACAACUGUGGACGCACGAGUAUUGUAAAUUUCCUGAACCUUUGGAUAUGUCAACCUGGAGUAUAAUGAAGAACAUUGUUGCUGACAGAGGAUUUUCUGGGUUGUUUACAGGUCUAAUUCCUCGAUUAGUUAAAAUUGUUCCUGCGUGUGCCAUUAUGAUCAGUUCAUAUGAAUUAGGAAAGGGGUUCUUCCAGCAGCAAAAUGUUGAAAGUCGGUAAUUCUCAUGAUGGACUUUUGACUUGAGAUAACAACCAGAGCCAAAUAAGAUGAGACUUUGUAGGCAGAAUGGUUUUUUCAACAUUAUUAUCUUAAAGAGUGACUUUAUCUGUCUUCCCUAUAAUUUAAAUGAAUAAUAAUAAUUUCUAGUCCACCUUUAAAUCAUAAUCCUAGUUUUCAGUUUUUGAAAUAUUAAAAACAUAAUCCAGAAACUGCAGCCACUUAGUACUCUUGCAGGACAAGUUUUCUGCGUGCAUAGAUCAUUACACACUUCCCUGUAAACCAAUGCUGUGAGUGUGGG